rnacentral:rRNA from 1 species
GACGAACGCUGGCGGCGCGCUUAACACAUGCAAGUCGAACGUGAAGCCCGGGCUUGCCCGGGUGGAAAGUGGCGAACGGGUGCGUAACACGUGAGGAACGUGCCCCGAAGACCGGGAUAACUCGAGGAAACUCGUGCUAAUACCGGAUGUCCUCACCGGAUCGCAUGGUCUGGUGAGGAAAUGGAUUCCGCUUCGGGAUCGCCUCGCGGCCUAUCAGCUUGUUGGUGGGGUAACGGCCUACCAAGGCAACGACGGGUAGCUGGUCUGAGAGGAUGUCCAGCCACACUGGGACUGAGACACGGCCCAGACUCCUACGGGAGGCAGCAGUGGGGAAUCUUGCACAAUGGGCGAAAGCCUGAUGCAGCGACGCCGCGUGCGGGAUGAAGGCCCUCGGGUCGUAAACCGCUUUCAGCAGGGACGAUAGUGACGGUACCUGCAGAAGAAGCCCCGGCCAACUACGUGCCAGCAGCCGCUGUAACAC